GAUGAACGCUGGCGGCGUGCCUAACACAUGCAAGUCGAACGGAGAUUCCGGACGGAAGUUUUCGGAUGGAAGCCUGUACUUCUUAGUGGCGGACGGGUGAGUAACGCGUGGGCAACCUGCCCUAUACAGGGGGAUAGCAGCUGGAAACGGCUGGUAAGACCGCAUAAGUCGGUUAAAUCGCAUGAUUUGAUCGGGAAAUGAGCAAUCAGGUAUAGGAUGGGCCCGCGUCCGAUUAGCCAGUUGGCAGGGUAAAAGCCUACCAAAGCGACGAUCGGUAGCCGGACUGAGAGGUCGGACGGCCACAUUGGGACUGAGACACGGCCCAAACUCCUACGGGAAGCAGCAGUGGGGGAUAUUGCACAAUGGAGGAAACUCUGAUGCAGCGACGCCGCGUGAGUGAAGAAGUAUUUCGGUAUGUAAAGCUCUAUCAGCAGGGAAGAUGAUGACGGUACCUGACUAAGAAGCCCCGGCUAACUACGUG
rnacentral:rRNA from 1 species